UUUAAUUGAAGAGUUUGAUCAUGGCUCAGAUUGAACGCUGGCGGCAGGCCUAACACAUGCAAGUCGAGCGGAAACAGGAAG
rnacentral:rRNA from 1 species